rnacentral:lncRNA from 1 species
CGGUCCUGGGGCUUUUAUACUUUGGCCUUGGCGCGGCCACUGCGAAGGGCAGCCUCCGGUCACGUAUGGUGCUGGACGCCACUCAACUCCAAGUCGGUGACAUGAUUCCUGAAGAUGGUGCCACGACUUGUCAACACAUACGGCCCCAGCACAGCAGAGAGAAGAGACCUCAUGCUGAGGCAGCAGGGACACUUACAAUGCAGCAGCGAUCGCCCCCUCCAAGCGCUCCUCGCUUCGACAAUGGAAGGGAACCUCUGUUUCCCCCAAAACGCUAUGCCUUAAGCGCUGCUGUGAGCGGAGCGCCUGACCCACGCUGCCUUCCCAUGCCACCUGCAUCCUGGCUGAUGGGCGCGGAAUUGACUCGACGAAGAAAUAGGUGUGUGUCAUGGCCACCUCUUCGACGACAGUGAUGUUUGUGGACGCCGGAGUUUUUAGGUCUCGUGAGCGCGAAAUAAAGAUUUGUUUUUAUGCGAA